CAGCCGCCACGGGAAUACGUAGGUGGCAAGCGUUGUCCGGAAUUAUUGGGCGUAAAGGGCUCGCAGGCGGUUUCUUAAGUCUGAUGUGAAAGCCCCCGGCUCAACCGGGGAGGGUCAUUGGAAACUGGGAAACUUGAGUGCAGAAGAGGAGAGUGGAAUUCCACGUGUAACGGUGAAAUGCGUAGAGAUGUGGAGGAACACCAGUGGCGAAGGCGACUCUCUGGUCUGUAACUGACGCUGAGGAGCGAAAGCGUGAGGAGCGAACAGGAUUAGAUACCCGAGUAGUCCCUGUCUCUUAUAC
rnacentral:rRNA from 1 species